AAACCAACAGGGAUUGCCUCAGUAACGGCGAGUGAAGCGGCAAAAGCUCAAAUUUGAAAUCUGAGGCUCUCAGCCCCCGAGUUGUAAUUUGAAGAUGGUGUUCUGGUGCCGGCCCCCUGUCUACGUUCCUUGGAACAGGACAUCACAGAGGGUGAGAAUCCCGUCUGGCGGGGCGGCCUGGCUCCGUGUAGAGCGCCAUCGACGAGUCGAGUUGUUUGGGAAUGCAGCUCUAAGUGGGUGGUAAAUUCCAUCUAAAGCUAAAUAUUGGCGAGAGACCGAUAGCGAACAAGUACAGUGAUGGAAAGAUGAAAAGAACUUUGAAAAGAGAGUGAAAAAGUACGUGAAAUUGUUGAAAGGGAAGGGUAUUGGAUCAGACUUGGUGCUGUGCGAAUAGCGGCNCUUCUUGGGCUGCCCACUCGCACUCCACCGGGCCAGCAUCGGUUUGGGCGGCAAGACAAUGGCGGGGGAACGUGGCACUGCUCUCGGGCAGUGUGUUUAUAGCCCCCGCUGAUGUUGCCUGCCUAGACCGAGGACUGCGGCUUCUGCCUAGGAUGCUGGCGUAAUGAUCCAACACCGC
rnacentral:rRNA from 1 species